rnacentral:rRNA from 1 species
UACGUAGGGUGCAAGCGUUGUCCGGAAUUAUUGGGCGUAAAGAGCUCGUAGGCGGUUUGUCGCGUCUGCUGUGAAAACUCGGGGCUUAACCCCGGGCCUGCAGUGGGUACGGGCAGACUAGAGUGAUGUAGGGGAGACUGGAAUUCCUGGUGUAGCGGUGAAAUGCGCAGAUAUCAGGAGGAACACCGAUGGCGAAGGCAGGUCUCUGGGCAUUAACUGACGCUGAGGAGCGAAAGCAUGGGGAGCGAACAGG